rnacentral:rRNA from 1 species
UACACUCCUACGGGAGGCAGCAGUGGGGAAUUUUGGACAAUGGGCGAAAGCCUGAUCCAGCAAUGCCGCGUGAGUGAAGAAGGCCUUCGGGUUGUAAAGCUCUUUUGUCAGGGAAGAAACGGUGAAAGCUAAUAUCUUUUGCUAAUGACGGUACCUGAAGAAUAAGCACCGGCUAACUACGUGCCAGCAGCCGCGGUAAUACGUAGGGUGCAAGCGUUAAUCGGAAUUACUGGGCGUAAAGCGUGCGCAGGCGGUUUUGUAAGUCUGAUGUGAAAUCCCCGGGCUCAACCUGGGAAUUGCAUUGGAGACUGCAAGGCUAGAAUCUGGCAGAGGGGGGUAGAAUUCCACGUGUAGCAGUGAAAUGCGUAGAUAUGUGGAGGAACACCGAUGGCGAAGGCAGCCCCCUGGGUCAAGAUUGACGCUCAUGCACGAAAGCGUGGGGAGCAAACAGGAUUAGAAACCCGUGUAGUCCCAUG